rnacentral:tRNA from 1 species
AGCAGUGUAGCAUAGUGGUAAGGAGCAGGGCUUAUAACCAAGAGGUUGCUGGUUCAAUUCCUUUCUUAGCCA